rnacentral:rRNA from 1 species
UACCUAGCGGCAGACGGGUGAGUAACAUGUGGGAAUCUGCCUUUUGGUUCGGAACAACACGGGGAAACCUGUGCUAAUACCGGAUAAGUCCUAACGGAGAGAGUUUUAAUGCCAAAAGAUGAGCCCGCAUUUGAUUAGCUAGUUGGUGAGGUAAAAGCUCACCAAGGCGACAAUCAAUAGCUGAUUUGAGAGGAUGAUCAGCCACAUUGGGACUGAGACACGGCCCAAACUCC